rnacentral:rRNA from 1 species
AACGAACGCUGGCGGCGUGCUUAACACAUGCAAGUCGAACGUGAAAGGGACUUCGGUCCUGAGUAAAGUGGCGCACGGGUGAGUAACGCGUAGAUAACCUGUCCUUGUGUUCGGGAUAAUAUGCCGAAAGGUGUACUAAUACCGGAUACUCUUGCUUUUCACAAGUUAUGCAAGCAAAGGUGGCCUCUGAUAUAAGCUACUGCAUAAGGAGGGGUCUGCGUACCAUUAGCUAGUAGGCGGGGUAAUGGCCCACCUAGGCGACGAUGGUUAGCGGGUCUGAGAAGAGGAUCCGCCACACUGGCACUGGAACACGGGCCAGACUCCUACGGGAGGCAGCAGUGAGGAAUAUUGCGCAAGGGGGGCAACCCUGACGCAGCGACGCCGCGUGAGUGAGGAAGGCCUUCGGGUCGUAAAGCUCUGUCAAAGGGAAAGAAGUGCAUGGAGGUUAAUACCCUUCAUGUUUGACGGUACCCUUAAAGGAAGCACCGGCUAACUCCGUGCCAGCCGCCGCCGUAACAC